rnacentral:rRNA from 1 species
GGUCCCUAAUACGGAUUGCUAAUGACGGUACCUGAAGAAGAAGCACCGGCUAACUACGUGCCAGCAGCCGCGGUAAUACGUAGGGUGCGAGCGUUAAUCGGAAUUACUGGGGCGUAAAGCGUGCGCAGGCGGUUAUGUAAGACAGAUGUGAAAUCCCCCGGGGCUUAACCUGGGAACUGCGUUUGUGACUGCAUAACUCGAGUGUGGCAGAGGGGGGUGGAAUUCCACGUGUAGCAGUGAAAUGCGUAGAGAUGUGGAGGAACACCGAUGGCGAAGGCAGCCCCCUGGGUCAACACUGACGCUCAUGCACGAAAGCGUGGGGAGCAAACAGGAUUAGAUACCCUGGUAGUCCACGCCCUAAACGAUGCGAACUAGGUGUUGGGGAAGGAGACUUUCUUAGUACCGCAGCUAACGCGUGAAGUUCGCCGCCUGGGGAGUACGGUCGCAAGAUUAAAACUCAAAGGAAUUGACGGGGACCCGCACAAGCGGUGGAUGAUGUGGAUUAAUUCGAUGCAACGCGAAAAACCUUAC